AACGAACGCUGGCGGCAUGCCUAACACAUGCAAGUCGAACGAGACCUUCGGGUCUAGUGGCGCACGGGUGCGUAACGCGUGGGAACCUGCCCUUAGGUUCGGAAUAACUCCCCGAAAGGGGUGCUAAUACCGGCUAAUGUCUUCGGACCAAAGAUUUAUCGCCUUUGGAUGGGCCCGCGUUGGCUUAGCUAGUUGGUAGGGUAAAAGCCUACCAAGGCGACGAUCCAUAGCUGGUCUGAGAGGAUGAUCAGCCACACUGGGACUGAGACACGGCCCAGACUCCUACGGGAGGCAGCAGUGGGGAAUAUUGGACAGUGGGCGAAAGCCUGAUCCAGCAAUGACGCGUGAGUGAUGAAGGCCUUAGGGUUGUAAAGCUCUUUUACCCGGGAUGAUAAUGACAGUACCGGGAGAAUAAGCUCCGGCUAACUCCGUG
rnacentral:rRNA from 1 species